CCCAAGGGAACAGGGUGGAUAAGCAAAGUGCCAAUGAAAAGCCAUCAGAUAGUUCAGAUGACGAUGAAUGCAACUGUGAGCAGAGUGAUGGUGAAGCAGAGAAGAGAACUGCCCCACUAGAAUUAAUGGGAGAGUUUCUGAAAGCAAUAAUGGGACGGGACUACAAUCUUGCCAAGAAACUUUGUCAAAUGAUUCUUAUAUAUGAACCUCAAAAUCCUGAAGCCCAGCAGUUUAUUCCACUGAUUGAGCGAAAA